UCAGCUUUGGUUGGCUCCGCCUAUUUCCUGCACAGCUUCUCACUGAGCUCCAAGCCUCGGUCCGGUCUCUUAUGUUGAUUGGUCUCAUUUGGCCCCAUGACUCUGACAGGCUGCGGCACGUGGUGUGUGUUUUGCAGCCAGCCAGUGAUGAGCGCACAUGGCGGGAAGGUGCUAAUUCAGAUUGUGGAAAGAAAUCAGUGCAAGCACAGGAACAGUAUACAAACACUGCAGAACAACCAUGUUGGGACUUGAAUGUGGACAUGUUGGAGGACCUCUGUGCAGUGGGGCAUUAAAUGCUAUCUAUUACACCAACCAUGCUACCCAUUGCGUACGCUAUAAACAAAACGAUGACCCAAAUAUAAUCUGUUUAACCUAA